rnacentral:lncRNA from 1 species
AUGCGCAGAAGCCGGCGGGCCCGAAGGCGCCCCCAGCGGCUAACAAGCCUCAGUGAAACUGGAAAGUUCGGCUUCCCUCGGCCACACUCGGUCUCCAGCCCCGCCUCUCGGCCCGCCUUUUCCUCCCAGCGCCGCGUUGAUGGGCGCGCAGCGGGCUCUGAAAGCCCGACUGUGGGCUGGGCGCUGUGGCGCACGCCUGUAAUCCCAGCACUUUGGGAGGCCAAGGUGAUGCUGGACGUGACAGAGAAGGUGACAGGUCACCCUGAGUGCGGGACUCCGUGCAUACCCAGGGCAAUCGGCCCUGAUGCCCAGGGGCUAGGCUUGCAAGACUGCGCAUUACGUUCGCAGAGCCGGAGUGCAAAGCCAGACCUGGUACCACCAACAGCAUCUCUGCCUUCGUCCUCAUCUGGUUCCCGCCUCAAACCUGUACCCGUGCUGGGGAGCCUGGAAGAUUAUUGAUCUGACCGGAACAGUCCAGGUUCCAUGAUGCAAGCAGUGGUGUCUGUCAUCUGACUUUGAGAGACAUCUGGCUCUGUUUCAAAAGAACUAAAACUAUAGUUCCAGCUACUUCGGAGGCCAAGGUGGGAAGAUGGCUUGAAUCCAGGAGCUUGAGGCUGCAGUGAGGU